UGUUGAUUCAAUUUAUUUUCGGGUAUAUAUCAAAACAGCAUUCGCAUGUUUUCCAGAACUGUCCUGUUUUAGUAAAACGUUGAUAUCUCCCAAUUGAAAUAUCGGAUCAGUCCCAUUUUUUAAUAUGUUGUUCAUAAGAGUAUAUUCUAGCAUGUGUUAAAUUUUCACGUUUUUUGGAUGCUUCUAACUCUCAAAAUGAUAAUUAAAUCGUGGUUUUUUAUCAAAGCCCAUGUAAAGCCCGCAUAAGUCUAUAAGUAGACCCAUAUUUUCAUGUGAGCAGCCCCCUUUUCUUUUCCACAAACCCUAAAACGAAUAUCUUCAUAUAAAAUACACAUUUCCUUUGUUCUAACAAGCCCGGAUGCAAUUCAUUACGCUAAGAACUUGAUUUUUCAUCAUACUCGCAAGAUCUACGCGAUUUCUACGUUGUGUUCUUCGCUGGUGGCUUGUGGAUCCAAUUGAUUUCGGUCCAGCCCUUUGAACCUUGGGUUAAUACAUCAAUUAUAAUCUUGUCCAUCAUUCUUAGACCCGUCGAAUGCUCGUGCUUCGGAGUCUACGCAAGGUUAGCUGUUUGCCAAGAUUUCACGUGGAUAAGCAAGCAGUUUAUGAUUUGAAAGCUGGUCCACUCCGAUUCUUGAUUCUUGGAGGUUUUUAUGUCAAUAAAACUAGUCUGUUGUUUUAAACUCUUAGACCGCA